UACGUAGGGUGCAAGCGUUGUCCGGAAUUAUUGGGCGUAAAGAGCUCGUAGGCGGUCUGUCGCGUCGGCUGUGAAAUCCCGAGGCUCAACCUCGGGUCUGCAGUCGAUACGGGCAAACUGGAGUACUGCAGGGGAGACUGGAAUUCCUGGUGUAGCGGUGAAAUGCGCAGAUAUCAGGAGGAACACCGGUGGCGAAGGCGGCAUCCUGGACCAACACUGACGCUGAGGAGCGAAAGCCAGGGGAGCAAACGGG
rnacentral:rRNA from 1 species